GAGCCUGAGAAACGGCUACCACAUCCAAGGAUGGCAGCAGGCGCGCAAAUUACCCAAUCCCGACACGGGGAGGUAGUGACAAUAAAUAACAAUACGGGGUUCUUUAGGAUCUCGUAAUUGGAAUGAGUACAAUUUAAAUCUCUUAACGAGGAACAAUUGGAGGGCAAGUCUGGUGCCAGCAGCCGCGGUAAUUCCAGCUCCAAUAGCGUAUAUUAAAGUUGUUGCAGUUAAAAAGCUCGUAGUUGAAUUUCGGGGUUAGUAGGUUGGUCAUGCCUCUGGUAUGUACUGGUCUCACUGAUUCCUCCUUCCUUAUGAACCGUAAUGCCAUUAAUUUGGUGUUGCGGGGAAUUUGGACUGUUACUUUGAAAAAAUUAGAGUGUUUAAAGCAAGCUAACGCUUGAAUACAUUAGCAUGGAAUAAUGAAAUAGGACGUUCGAUCUUAUUUUGUUGGUUUCUAGGAUUGACGUAAUGAUUAAUAGGGAUAGUUGGGGGCAUUAGUAUUCAAUUGUCAGAGGUGAAAUUCUUGGAUUUAUUGAAGACUAACUACUGCGAAAGCAUUUGCCAAGGAUGUUUUCAUUAAUCAAGAACGAAAGUUAGGGGAUCGAAGACGAUCAGAUACCGUCGUAGUCUUAACCAUAAACUAUGCCGACUAGGGAUCGGAUGAUGUUAAUUUUUUAAUGACUCAUUCGGCGCCUUACGGGAAA
rnacentral:rRNA from 1 species